UACGGAGGGGGCUAGCGUUGUUCGGAAUUACUGGGCGUAAAGCGCACGUAGGCGGCUUUGUAAGUUAGAGGUGAAAGCCCGGGGCUCAACUCCGGAAUUGCCUUUAAGACUGCAUCGCUAGAAUUGUGGAGAGGUAAGUGGAAUUCCGAGUGUAGAGGUGAAAUUCGUAGAUAUUCGGAAGAACACCAGUGGCGAAGGCGACUUACUGGACACGUAUUGACGCUGAGGUGCGAAAGCGUGGG
rnacentral:rRNA from 1 species